rnacentral:rRNA from 1 species
UACGGAGGGUGCAAGCGUUGUUCGGAUUUAUUGGGCGUAAAGCGCGUGUAGGCGGUCUCUUAAGUCUGAUGUGAAAGCCCUGGGCUCAACCCGGGAAGUGCAUUGGAUACUGGGAGACUUGAAUACGGGAGAGGGUAGUGGAAUUCCUAGUGUAGGAGUGAAAUCCGUAGAUAUUAGGAGGAACACCGGUGGCGAAGGCGGCUACCUGGACCGAUAUUGACGCUGAGACGCGAAAGCGUGGGGAGCAAACAGG